rnacentral:misc_RNA from 1 species
GACGCUGCCCUCGCCCUCCACGAGGUUCUGAAAGGAAGACGGGAUCGGAGGGACUGCAACGCUCACGACGCCUUCCAGCAUGCGAACGACCUGCCCCAUCGACGGCCGGUCGCCCUCAUCGUCCUGUACGCACCAGCAGGCGACUCUGCAGGCGACGUCCAGCUCCUCCACAUCCGCGUCUCCUCCCAGCCUACUGUCCAGCAGGCACAGCACGUCUCCCUCGCUCACCCGCGCCGCCGCGUGGAGAGGGAAGUACCGGUGGCUCCCGGACCCGGACCUCAGCCUCGCCGUGCUCCUCCUCCCCGAGACGAUCUCGAGGAGCACGAUGCCGAAGCUGUAGACGUCCGCCUUCCUCGUGACCGGCCGCCCGGAGAUCCACUCCGGCGCGAGGUACCCCAUGGUGCCCCGGACGGUGGUCAGCGCCGAGUCGAACUCGCGCCCGAGGAGCUUCGCCAUGCCGAAGUCGGCGAUCUUGGCGCGGAGCUCCGAGUCCAGCAGGAUGUUCUCGGGCUUGAUGUCGCAGUGUAUGAUGCGGUCCUCGCACUCCUCGUGGAGGUAGGCGAUGCCCUUCGCGAUGCCGAGCGCGAUCUGGUAGCGGAGGCUCCAGCUCAGACGAGCGGAUCUCUCCGAGAAGAGGUGCGCGUCCAGAGACCCGUUCGGCAUGUACUCGUAGACCAGCAGCCUCGUGUCUCCUCUAACGCAGAAGCCCAGGAGGCGGACGAGGUUGGCGUGCUUGAUCACCCCGAGCGUCUGCACCUCGGCUCUGAACUGCUUGUCCGCCUGCCCGCUGCGUUUGAGCCUCUUCACGGCGACGGCGGUUGGUCCUGCCAUUGUUCCCCUGAAAACGCUUCCAAACCCUCCCUCGCCGAGUUUGUCGGAGAAGUUCCUUGUAGCCUUCUUCAUCUGCGCGUAAGAGUAGAACGCGAGAGAACCUCCUGCUUCAAACUCUCUGCGACUGCAAGUAAAUACACCUCUCCAGGUCCGGGAUCGCCAUAGGAGCGCCAGUAUCACUAUCACGGCAGCCAACGCUACUGACCCGACCACCAUGGAUACAAUCAGCCCUGUGCGCAGACCACUCUUGGGCCUGAGCUUGGAGCCCCAACGAACAUAAACCUUGCUGUAUGGAGGAGGUCCUCUGGAAGCGAAGCUCAGGUUGUACAGGUUGUAGUACCACAGCUUGCAUCCGGAGUGAUACGCAUACGCGACGCAGUAGCAUCUGCUGAGACAGGCUUGUUUGCAGUCUUCAUCAGUUGCUGCUAAACCAUCCUGGGGAUUAUACGGGAGCCCCUGCAGCUUGUCUAGCAGGAUAAAGGAGUCGUCUUGUUCAGUCUGGCCGUUCGUCUGGCAGCUCAGCGGAAGAGAUCUCGGUCUCGAGCAACCGGUUGCGAAGUAUCCGAGGCUCCACUCCGCUGGAUAGGAAGGCUCAAAUCCGCGGACACAGCUGCAUUCUCCAUUGCUCCUGCAAGCACCAAAGCUACCGCAGAAGAAGCCACUGGAUUUGCAAUCCGACGGGAAGGUCCAGCGAGCCACCCAGCCACUGCUGUUCGUGUUCGCCGCUGCAGACCACCGCAUCAGGCUCACUUGCCCCAGGCUGAACUGCAAGAACUCGGUCAGGUUAGAGCUGUCCGGAGGAGGGUUCAGCACCAGCGAGGUGCCGUUGUCCUGUGACGUCACCAUCCAGUCCGGGAAGGUCCCCAGGCUGCUGGGAUGCCCGUCGGUGCUGAGCACGAAGCCGUUCCUCCUGCUCGGGUCCACGCUGAGGCUGCCGUUGUGCGAGAAGUCCCUGUACGUCAGCGAGACGUUGGCCCCCGUUCCCGCGGCGAGCCCCAGCCGGGCGCCGGGGAGCAGCGAGUCGCCGGGGUAGUCGAAGCUCUGCCACAGCACCCGCGACGAUGCGUCGUCGGCCUGGUCCCUCACCACCAGGUUGCCGUUGCCGAGGAGCACCGCGGCUGCGGCGGCGGACGGCGGCGGGGGCCCCGGCCCGGCUCCCGCGACGGACGAGCACCAGAGGGUAGACCCGGCCUCCGUGAUGCACAGACUGCCGCCGAAGACCUCCAGCGCCGCGGCUGAGAUGUCGGAGAUGACCACCCUGUCCCCGACCCAGAACGUGGGGCUGGUGCCCGGCAUCUUCUUGAAGCGGACGCCGAGGAAGCGGUGGAUGCCGGCGCCCGGCAAGAAGAAGCCCAGCUCGAAGUCGCCGUUCUUGGACACCAGCGUCUGGUUCCCGGAGAUGCCCGCGCCCGGGAGGAUGGUGUCCGUCACCGAAGCAGCGACUGCCAGUGCCAGCAGCAGGACGAUGGAGAAGAGGAAGGUGGGCGUCGCGCACCCACGAGGCCCCGACGGGGAGCAGCUACGCUUUGGUGCCUCCAUUGCGGUACCGGGCAUCACUUGCAGGGGGGGACGAGCACGAACACGGCAGGGAAGAAGAAGUCACCAGCGAGGUGAGCAAGAAUGAAUGAGGUGACCUGAAGCUGAGUGCUCGUGCUGCCGUACACGAUAGCUCCGAGCUCCGGCGAGAACUGCCGCCUCGCCUUUGACCAAGCCUUUUACUUUAGUGCGACUUCACCGCUGGAUCUCCGACCUCGCGCCACGCCACGCCACGCCGUCGUUUCUCUUUGACUCCCUCAGAAAAAUGACACGGGAGGAACAGGUUAGCAAUGAAUGCCGCGACUGGAUUUUUCUCCUCCGACGGAUGUGUGCACGUUUCUAAAAUCUAGACUAGCUAGUGUAUCCUUAUGACCUUUUGGAAAAGUUGUGG